CAGUAGCCGCGGUAAUACGAAGGGGGCUAGCGUUGUUCGGAAUUACUGGGCGUAAAGCGCACGUAGGCGGACAUUUAAGUUAGGGGUGAAAUCCCGGGGCUCAACCCCGGAACUGCCUUUGAUACUGGGUGUCUAGAGUAUGGAAGAGGUGAGUGGAAUUCCGAGUGUAGAGGUGAAAUUCGUAGAUAUUCGGAGGAACACCAGUGGCGAAGGCGGCUCACUGGUCCAUUACUGACGCUGAGGUGCGAAAGCGUGGGGAGCAAACAGGAUUAGAUACCCCUGUAGUCCCUGUCUCUUAUAC
rnacentral:rRNA from 1 species